AUUGAACGCUGGCGGCAGGCCUAACACAUGCAAGUCGAGCGGAUGAAGGGAGCUUGCUCCUGGAUUCAGCGGCGGACGGGUGAGUAAUGCCUAGGAAUCUGCCUGGCAGUGGGGGAUAACGUCCGGAAACGGGCGCUAAUACCGCAUACGUCCUGAGGGAGAAAGGGGGGGAUCUUCGGACCUCACGCUAUCAGAUGAGCCUAGGUCGGAUUAGCUAGUUGGUGGGGUAAAGGCCUACCAAGGCAACGAUCCGUAACUGGUCUGAGAGGAUGAUCAGUCACACUGGAACUGAGACACGGUCCAGACUCCUACGGGAGGCAGCAGUGGGGAAUAUUGGACAAUGGGCGCAAGCCUGAUCCAGCCAUACCGCGUGUGUGAAGAAGGUCUUCGGAUUGUAAAGCACUUUAAGUGGGGAGGAAGGGCAGUAAGUUAAUACCUUGCUGUUUUGACGUUACCAACAGAAUAAGCACCGGCUAACUUCGUG
rnacentral:rRNA from 1 species